GGAGCAUGGCUGCUAAUGUUCCAGCAGGGCAUCCAGAUGCAGCAGGGGCCACAGUGAAGACCACCAUGUUCAGAAAGUGGGACCCACUAAGGAAUCUGUGUGUCAUCCAGGGGAGUGAGAGAGAGAGACAUAAAACUGAUACAUUUGGGUGAGGUACUGUUUUGUGAAUUCCCUUUAACAGAAGCAGCUCUCUCUGUCCAGAGGGAUGGGUGUGACAGAGCAAGGAAGGAGACUAUGUCACAAAGCAUGGUCCUGAGAGACCUGGCCAAAUGAAGCAUACAGCAGCCAGCCGAGUAGAUCUCAGGAUCAUAGCAACAACACAAUCCACAAUUAUUCCUCUUCAGCCAUGCAUGUCUCCAGGAGCCUUGAAGGGUGGGGAGCACAAAUGUGAAGAUGACAAGACCCGGCUGAAAAUCCCACGACACUAUCAGCCACCCCACCUUGGCUGA
rnacentral:lncRNA from 1 species